rnacentral:rRNA from 1 species
CGGGGUGCGACACGGUGACGUGGGGCGGAUCCCUGAAAACCGGUCUCAGUUCGGAUCGCAGUCUGCAACUCGACUGCGUGAAGGUGGAGUCGCUAGUAAUCGCGGAUCAGCAACGCCGCGGUGAAUACCGUUCCCGGGCCUUGUACACACCGCCCGUCACACCAUGGAAGUCUGCAAUGCCCGAAGCCGGUGGCCUAACCACUUAUGUGGAAGGAGCCGUCUAAGGCAGGGCAGAUGACUGGGGUGAAGUCGUAACAAGGUAAC